CAGCAGCAGCCACGGUAAUACAGAGGGUGCGAGCGUUAAUCGGAUUUACUGGGCGUAAAGCGUGCGUAGGCGGCUUCUUAAGUCGGAUGUGAAAUCCCUGAGCUUAACUUAGGAAUUGCAUUCGAUACUGGGAAGCUAGAGUAUGGGAGAGGAUGGUAGAAUUCCAGGUGUAGCGGUGAAAUGCGUAGAGAUCUGGAGGAAUACCGAUGGCGAAGGCAGCCAUCUGGCCUAAUACUGACGCUGAGGUACGAAAGCAUGGGGAGCAAACAGGAUUAGAGACCCCCGUAGUCCCUGUCUCUUAUAA
rnacentral:rRNA from 1 species